rnacentral:lncRNA from 1 species
AACAAUGCGGUUGCAACUGUGGCGGCAUUAACUGCUUUUUCCCACAAUUACCCUUAAUUAUAGUAAACACAAUGUAUCUGCAACUGCGAUUAGUGAGAGAGCAGUGUAGAGAACUAGAGUUAGAAUUAACAUUAGACCUUUCCAUCUGAUGAAGGAAGAUUAUCAGUUUUCAAGGUAGCGGAAGAAGAGGUAGACACCGAAUUUGUGCCUCUGGAAGGAGAAGAGGGAGGAGAAGGAAGCUUCUUCGGCAUCAUCUGUUCCCAAUAUGCCUUAGGUAACCUUGACCCUUCUGAUAGAACAACAAAAGCAAGCAGAGCCAAGAGCAAACACUGGUGCCUCCAAGAACCUAUCAUCAUGAUGAAUAGUAGUAUUCCUACUCAAGAAGUGCACAGAACCUGAAUUUGGCUUUGAAAGAGAGUCAGCUUUAGAAGGCUUCUG